rnacentral:lncRNA from 1 species
CACAUUUUCUUGUUUGGUAGAAGUGGAUAGUUUGGCAAACGAUGUUGCUGGAGAUUCUUGUGUGGUUAUGACAUCAACUGUGCUCUCUUGUGUAAACAUCUGUUGUUGGGAAAGGUUUUGUGUGGCACAUGGUAUUGAUGCUUGUCUUCCAUGACUUGCUAGGACAGAAAGGAUAGAAAAGAUUCGAUUUGUGACACAGAAUGCAGACAUGUUGAUGGUAACUGCAAGUGUGAAUUUGAGGGAGACAAUGGCAGCUAGGUCUGGAGGAGGACCUCGAGAAACAUCUGAUGUGCUAAAAAGGGUUUGACAAGAUUUUCCUACUAUUCGUCUAGCUAUAGUAUCAAAGCAAAAGAAUUCUGCUUCGGAUGUUCCAUCAGUGGCAAUGAAGCUGAGUUUAUAUCUGUGAGCUAGAAAUUGUUAGUGUUAUAUAACAGUUAUUAGAUAGCUAUGCAAGAAGACGACAUUUUCCUCUGUAUGCAAAACAUAAUUGGUUUGGUGUUUGUGUAUACGGUUACCUGAACUUUGUUACACCAUUCUACAUUGAUGUGGGCUUGAUAUUUUUUGAGUAAUGUCAUGUUGUAGGGAACAACCCAUCUAUUGUCUAGCUUAAUGUUAGAUUUCAUGACGAAUCUAUCAUUGUUUGAUCGUUUGUAAACUGCAAAUCCAUUCAUAUCAACUACAGUUUCACUGUUAAAGAGCUUAGGAUAGUGCUUGGAGCAUUGAUUUCUUUUCAUGCAAGGCGAAUUUUGAUUAUAAUAGCCACAUGGUCCAUGGACCAUGUGUUCCGCAAGUAAGGCAUAUCCUAAUGGAUCAGUAGCUGGAUCUGGUAUCUCAGCAGUUAUGUAAGAAUCUAUAAGGUUAGCAUUUGGCUGUGAGGUAUCAGUUGACACCCAGAAAAUAAUAUGCGCGUGAGGUAAUCCACGUUUCUGGAAUUCUACUGUAUAUAGGACUGCAUCACGAAAAAAAGAUGAAUUGAUUAGAAAGACUUAUAGUAGCUAAGUUAUGACAUGUGAUGUGGUAAUGGUAUUAACAGUCUUGUCAUUGUUAUGUAUGGAUUCGUGUUACUGUUAGGUUUACAAAGAAAAGAACAAACCAAACAAAGAAGGGUUCCUUUUUUGUUUAUUAAGUUAAAGCGUGUACAAUGGAACUUAUGUUGCCAGGCAUGAAAAAUACUAUUUACGCAAAUUGCAAAUGGAGCAAAGAGAUAAGAAGCACAAAACUUUUGGUAAAUUAAGUUUGAAUAUGUAUAAUAUAGCAAGGGUUUUGGUAGUUAAGGCAAUAUUGUUCAUGGGAUUGCAUUGAACGGAAGGUUGCAUAUGAGGAAACCACGAAAAAAGUUAGGAAAACCUUUGGUGAGUAAUUAUGUGUUUGUAAUAGAUCAAUGUUAUAAGCGGUAUUGUCAACAUUUGUGUGCAUUUGUAUAAAAUGUUUGGACAAUCAAGGUUUCAAUAUGUACUAUGUAAAUGUUUUCAGUCAAAAGGUUGUAUACUAAAAAAAGAGGACUAGACAAGGUGAUAUAGGUUAAGUGAAUUAUGAAUAAAUAAGUAAAUCUAACCUUUUUACUCAAGUUAAGAAGAUUAUAUUAGACAAGGUGUUAUAAACUUAGUGUAUAAAGGAUGAAUAAGUAAAUUUAACUUUUGUACUCAAAUUGUGGGUUCGCAGCAUAGAUGGUAAAGCAACAAUAUUGGAAUAAAGAUUUGUUUUUUUUACUGUAGAUAAGGUAGAAAAAACGAAUGAGUAUAAGAAAGUUUGUUUACGAAUACAAAUUCCAACUCAAUAAUUAAAGAGAAGUAUAUGUAUGUAUAAAAUUGGAAACAAAAUAUUCGCACCUGCUUUGCAUGGUCCAACUAUCUUUCCAGAUUUUAUAUCUUGUAAUAACUCUUGUAAUUUCAUAUGGAAUAUUCUUACCGCAAUAUCAGGUGCGUCAGAAUUUUUUUGUCCACAGUGGUAAAGACUCUCAAUAAUUUCGGGCCACUUUGCAUUACAUGUGAAGGUUACGAAGAAGUCAGGUGGGCCAUGAACUCUGCAAAUAGCUAUGCUGUCGUGAUAGUUUUGUAUCAUGUAUCGUCUUCCACCGAUAUGUGACGCUGGAAGCACAAUUGUUUUCCCCAUCUCUUCACCGUUUAUGCAACCUCUACUAACAGCAUCUGAUAUACCUUGUAAAUUUUCCAUCCUUAAUUUGUCCUGAUUAUUCAGAAUGUAAGUAAGCCUAUUUUCAUCAAUGCAGGCACGGGCAUCGACCUUAGCUUGAUUUGAUAAUAUCCCAUAAGAGAGAAAUGGAUUGGGUUGCCCGGGUUUAUAAUGAAAUUGAUAGCAAUAAUAGUCUUGCAUUGUCAUACGAACUCUUGAAUUUGCCUGUCUGUUUUGUAAGCCGCUAUACAUAACACCAAUUUGGAAACCUCGUUCUCCAUAUGGAAAUAGGAGUGGAUAUUGAAGGGCCAUAUAAGCUGGAUGUAACGAUGAAAUACGUUUUAAUUCAUAAUUUCUGGUUUCUAUGAUAAUGUCUCGUUUGAAGGUUUCAAGGGAGAAAUCACCGAUAACUAGCAUGGCUAAAUCAUCAGUUGUUGGCAUGUCAUAUUGCACAGGAUCUCCUUCUUUGGCUCCAAUAAUUCUAAUGAUAAAUUCCUCGUCUGCGUGUUCGAUAAGCCUUUCCUUAGCAAUUCUGAAUUUUUUAGCGAAAGGAUUAUGGGUGUCCAACAUCUGUAAUAGUUCAUGAACAAUUUGUGGCUGUAUAGGAGAAUCAGGAGCAUCAUCACUUGAUAAAGACCGUAUUCGAUUAUUUACCUCAUGUGAUGUAUCAUAUACAUAAAGUUGAAGGAAUUUUGGGGGCUGGUCGGUCAUUGGAAGUAAUGAGCCUAUUCGAUGAUGGAUCUGACCACAUAUCUUGAAGACUGGUGGUCCGCGACCAUCAUUCAAUGAUCUAUCAAUAUGAGCGCCCAUAGAUGUAAAUGCAAACAAGCAAUUGUAUUGCCUUAUAUUUUGCAUGAAGUUUUUUGAAACCACAUCACCAUCAAACCUUGCUAAUGACAAUAAAGGUUCAGGCCUGGGUCUAUAAGCAGGUAUGCGAACUUUACCACCUUUACAACAACUAUUGUAGAUGACAGAUCUUGUUCCCACAGAUGACCUUAUUCUCUCGUUGUGCCAAAAAAGUGCGGAGCAAUGAACACAUUGGUAUGAUGGUCUUCCAUAAUACGAUCGAUCAUGGUAUGUAGCUGCAAAUUUCCUCACCAUGCAUAGAAAUAACGAAGGAAAUUAAGGGAAGGACAGUAAGAAUUUAAUAACAAAACAUCUUUAGUUCUAACCUUGCGAUCUUAAAUAGUCUUAUUAUCUAUUACAUAAUUUUUAACAAUCUUAAGUAAUUAAUGGAUUGACUCAUCGUCACAAUUUACCUUUGAUUGUUUUUACGAAAUCUGGAUCGAAGUGUCCACACCGCAGUGUGGGAGUAUGCUGAGAUGGCGCGGUGGACCCUAGUACAGUUGUAUUCAUCCUCAAUAUUUGAUAUUUUUUAAAACCAUCGGGGGGAAAAGUUGUGUUCACUGUCUUACCUGUUGAUGCUAGUUUUCGCUGAUCUAGCACUCGCUUACGUAUACGCCUUGCUUCUGUAUGAGAUAAAGUUGAUGGGGCGUAGCAUGCAUUGUUAUGAUCUGUCAUGACAAACUUGUCACGAGCAUAUUAAAAGCUAGGCUUUUGUUAUUUUUAAAGGACCGUACUAAAGGACUUACUCCGCUUUCUGUUGCUGUUUGGAUUUAAGGGGUCCAUAUCAAAGUAGUUCCCACAAAUUUGCACCUAUUUUCUCCUAGUUAUAUAUGACAAUCAAUAUCACUGAACAUAGUACAUGAAUAAUAGGAUAGUAUUCCAUAGAUCUCCUAGAUCAGACGCCUCUCUUUCUCUAUACAUAUAUAGUUCGUAUGAUCUCUAUAUAUAAUAUAUAUGUACAUGUUUGUAUAGAUCAGCUAUAUAGUGAUCAUCAGACAUGUAUAAGCACAUGGUUGUGUGAACAGUUGACGAAGUACAGGGAAAAAAUGCAAACAAAUCAAGAUUAAUUUGGACAUAUACAUACGUAUGUAUACAUCUACACAGAUUUUUUAACUAUACCUAUGUUUAAUCAUGUUUGUCUAAAUAAACUAUUUAUGGUGAGUUUUGUGUACUCAUAUAAUUGGCUAAUUCAGUAGAGGAGGAAGUAGAGGGAAAUCAUAUACACGGCAUAUGCCUUUAUUGCUACUUAAGGAUAAAUAAGUUGAUGCCUUGGUUGCUAAUUAAGAAACUGUGUAUGAACAAAAUUACUCAAUUUGUUGGUAGAAAGGUAUCACACUAUUUAGCAAAAGCAGUACAUCAACCAAGUAGAACACAAGGAAUUCUAAAGGAGAAGGUGUGAGAAGACUUACGUCCGUGUAUGCUAAAUUCCAACUGCUCUUUUAUUGCUCACGAACUUUAGCUGCAGCAGAGGACCAAUAUGACCUACAUGAUGGAAAUUGAGAACUUAGAAGUACGACAACUUGUUUUGAACUGGAAAAAGUGGGUUACGAAUCGGCUCUAAAGGCAGGAAACAGAUGCAACUUUGAUCAAUGUUAUCCGAUUUUAAAAAAUGAAAGCCAAAAACUUGUUACAGGUUCAGCCAAAAAACUUUAUAUCCUACAAUACAUAGUGAACACUAUAUAUGUAUACAGUGGAAGGCAUUACCAUCUGGCACCUGAACGUAGAAAUUGUCUAAAAAAAGGUGUCCGAACCUCACUAAGGUAAAGAAGUGAAACCAAAUUACAAACCAAUUAACAUAUCAGUUGAUGACGAAGGAAAAAAAGUACACACUGUCAGAACCAGUUUACUUGUGACCAUAAACAAUACACAUAUAUUUAAUGUCCAGACAGCACGCAUUAUAAAUCUAGCAACAAUCUAUUUGUUUUGUACUAAGUACGCCCAAUAUGAACGGUACUGAAACUCACCAAAUGGAGCACAUCACGCAGCUGCCGGUAGAAACCCCAAACCCAAGACCAAUUAUUGGGGUAUCCUUUUUCGUCAGUUCGUUCAUUCAUAGAUAGUUAGUGGUCCAAUUGAAUAUCCAUCUACUCAUUCUGCUAGCUAUACUUUAAAAAAGAACUGAUCUAGGAACGAAACGAAAAAAUGGCAGGGAGCUGUUUAGGCCGCCUAGAAACCACAAGAUAGGGUCGAACUUGUUGUGUGUGUAUAGAUCCAAUGUCUGAAAAUGUAGUAGCUGUUCACAAACAGGUAACACAACAGAUUCGGUGAAAAGAAAUUCAUGCAGGACAGCAUGAGUAAUUUCGAACAAUACAAUCAGUAACUAAAUUUAGUUUAAAUAAAUAAUCUCACACUUACUAAUGGGCACAAAACUGCAUCUUAUGGAUGUGAGUGAACGCUGAACAGUAUCUGCAACCCCUCUUCCAAGCCCUACGGUACAUACAGAUAGAAAGGUCUGGGCUGCGCCUCCCUCAAAAUAUAGGUAAUGUCUAUUUCAAUUGAAGCUUGAAACUCUUGUGGCUGUGUGGACAGAUUCUUUAGGGUCUGAUGGUUCCUGUCUGGGCGACAAGCUAUUGACAAUCUACUAAUUCCAUUUUGGAGGAAACUCCUGUGGCUGUGUGCACAGAUUCUUUAGGGUCUGAUGGUUCCUGUCUGGGCGAGAAGCUAUUGACAAUUUACUAAUUCCAUUUUGAAGGCAACUAAAUUCAUCCAAAUACGAUGUCAAGAAAAGCAGCGUAGCCCAUCGAAGUACCAUUGUGCUUAGCAGGACUAAAAUUCCAUUCCCAGGAUCACUCACAAUGCCGGCCAAACAAAAUAAGACGGGAAAAAAACGAGGAUUUAAGGAUUCCUGCAGCAUACUGAUUAAGAGCGUCUCUGCAGUGAAACACCAUAGGGCCGGCGGCAGUCGGCAUUGUUCAGCCGCGGCAGGCGAAAAAAAAGAGUAAAAAAAGAGCAUGCAGAGCACGUAGGAAAGAGCACACACAGCACGCAGGAAUGAGCACGCAGUAAAAAAAAACCACAAUCGCGUUGGAAUGAGCACGCAGUGGGACAGCGGCGCUCAGCACUGUUCAGAUCUAGGGUUUGGGAUGAACGGCCACCACAGAGCAACUGAGUACACGAGGGGAAAGGAAACAGCAGCCAUUCGGCAACGGCGCUCAGCACUGUUCAGACCUAGGGUUUGGGAUGAACGGCCACCACAGAGCAACUGAGUACACGAGGGGAAAGGAAACAGCAGCCAUUCUCACCUGUGGCGACGACGAACGGCAAACGCGACGGAGAAGUGGCAGCGAUAAGGACGUGACCGCUGGCAGCUGAGACUUGCUUCUUGGUCGUCGCGGCGGGCGACCUGGAGACUUCCAGGUUUCUAUGGAACGAAGGCAGCUGGCUCUAUUUUUGUAUGUAGUGGAUGGGAUAACCAGCGCUCCAACCGUUGAUGUGUGAUCCAAUGGCCAACCUUUUUCAGCCGACGUGGACAGGCUAAGCAGCCCAGAUUUGAACCGGUUAUGACAUCAACUGUGCUCUCUUGUGUAAACAUCUGUUGUUGGGAAAGGUUUUGUGUGGCACAUGGUAUUGAUGCUUGUCUUCCAUGACUUGCUAGGACAGAAAGGAUAGAAAAGAUUCGAUUUGUGACACAGAAUGCAGACAUGUUGAUGGUAACUGCAAGUGUGAAUUUGAGGGAGACAAUGGCAGCUAGGUCUGGAGGAGGACCUCGAGAAACAUCUGAUGUGCUAAAAAGGGUUUGACAAGAUUUUCCUACUAUUCGUCUAGCUAUAGUAUCAAAGCAAAAGAAUUCUGCUUCGGAUGUUCCAUCAGUGGCAAUGAAGCUGAGUUUAUAUCUGUGAGCUAGAAAUUGUUAGUGUUAUAUAACAGUUAUUAGAUAGCUAUGCAAGAAGACGACAUUUUCCUCUGUAUGCAAAACAUAAUUGGUUUGGUGUUUGUGUAUACGGUUACCUGAAC